rnacentral:rRNA from 1 species
AUGACUGGCCAAGGGGUCCGGCAGGGAGACCUAAUCUCCCCAUUCUUAUUCAACCUUGUGGUUGAUGCGCUCGCCUCGAUUCUGGACUUGGCCAAGCGUGUGGGUCACAUUAGAGGGGUUUGCCCUCAUUUGGUGACACCUGGGGGUUUGACCCAUCUCCAAUAUGCGGACGACACCAUUAUGAUGGUGGAGGGAUCUGAUAAGGAUAUUCAGAACCUCAAAUCCCUCCUCCUUUGCUUCCAGGAAAUGUUGGGCCUCAAAAUAAACUUUGCCAAGAGUGAGGUAAUGGUCAUGGGAUAUUCCCAAGGGGAGGCCCAGCGGAUUGCCAAUCGUUUGAACUGCCACUUGGGUUCCUUCCCGAUGACUUAUCUUGGCAUGCCCCUUAGUGAUGCACGACUCCUGGAAAAGGAUUUCCGUCCAAUAGUCGCCAAGAUCCAACCUAGAAUGGAGCCUUGGCAAGGGAGAUGGCUUUAUAAAGCCGCUCGAGUGAUUCUAAUGAACUCCUCCCUUAUUAGCCUACUGAUGUAUAUCAUGGGAUUCUAUAGCCUACAUGAAUCCCUUCAUUAG